rnacentral:rRNA from 1 species
AUGAAGCUUAUCUCAUGGAAUUGCCGGGGGUUGGGGAACGGCCCGGCAAUUCGCAGCCUUUUGGAGCUCCAGAAGGAGGAGGACCCCGAUGUGCUUUUUUUGUCGGAAACAAGGAUGGUGCGUGGCAGGCUGGAAUGGUUGAGGUGGAAGAUGGGCAUGACCAAUAUGAUUGUAAAAGACUGCGAGGGGCAGAGUGGUGGACUGGCUUUGUUUUGGAAGAAUCAAGUUAAUCUCAAGCUAAUUGGGUUUGUCUCUCGGUACCAUAUUGAUACGGAAAUUACUGAAUCGAACGGAUUCGUUUGGCGGUUCAUAGGGAUUUAUGGAGAAUCAAAGCAUGAUGAAAAGGAUAAGAUGUGGAAAUUACUGCGGAACCUGAAACACCAAAGCAAUAAGCCUUGGCUGUGUGCGGGAGAUUUCAAUGAGAUUCUACAUUCAUGGGAGAAGGAUGGAGGAGCACCUCGAUUUCAAGCUUGCAUGGACCGGUUUAAGGCGGCUCUAGAGGUGUAUGAGCUUUGA